UUUUUUUUUUCUUUCCACCUUUGUAGAGUAGCUUCAAACAUGAUGAGCUGUAUGGAAUCAGCCGCUUCUGGAUGCGGUGAUGAAGUGAAUAAAAUAUUCGACCAAGUUCGUUCAUCAAUUGCAGAUUUAGGAUGUCCAAUGUCAUCAAACGUACCCAAACUGUAUGCUCGUAGCAGUGUCAUCUCUGGUGCUUUCAUUGCAGCAAUCGCCUUAAAGAAGUUACUUCUCUAAAUUUUUUAUUAUGACAUUCAUAAAAUUGAUAACUAUAUGUUGAUUUAAAAGUUGUAAACUUGCUUUCUAAAUGUAUGCACGAAUUAAAAAAGAGUACAAAUUCUUGUUGUCUUAAUCGUAUGUUGAUAUACAAAUUAUAACUUGAGCUGCCAUAAACUUUGAAAUAAAAUAAAAUUUAUUACCAUAA
rnacentral:lncRNA from 1 species